AAAAUAAGGUGAUUCAUAGUAACCGAACGGAUCGCAUUAUAAUUAUCAUUAUUUGAUGAUUGGCGAUAGAUCAUUCAAGUUUCUGACCUAUCAGCUUUCGACGGUAGUGUAUUGGACUACCGUGGCAGUGACGGGUAACGGGGAAUUAGGGUUCGAUUCCGGAGAGGGAGCCUGAGAAACGGCUACCACAUCUAAGGAAGGCAGCAGGCGCGCAAAUUACCCAAUCCUGACUCAGGGAGGUAGUGACAAGAAAUAACAACACUGGAAAUUUGAUUUCUAGUGAUUGGAAUGAUGGGAAUCCAAACCCCUUUCAGAGUAACAAUUGGAGGGCAAGUCUGGUGCCAGCAGCCGCGGUAAUUCCAGCUCCAAUAGCGUAUAUUAAAGUUGUUGCAGUUAAAAAGCUCGUAGUUGGAUGUCUGUUGGAAGCAAUCAUCAGUCCGCCCUAUUUGAUUAGGGUGUGAAUAUGAUGAAUUCCGGCAUAAUUGUCUCCCUAUUGUUAAUAUUCUGAUUGUUAGAUUCAUUUCUAACAAUAAUACGAUUAUUAAUAAUAAGGGGGAAAUGUUACUUUGAGAAAAUUAGAGUGUUUGAAGCAGGCUUUUGUUGCCUUGAAUACUGCAGCAUGGAAUAACAAUAUAGGAUUUCGGUUCUAUUUUGUUGGUUCUUUUUUUAGGACUGAAAUAAUGAUUAAUAGGGACAGUUGGGGGCAUUCGUAUUUAACUGUCAGAGGUGAAAUUCUUAGAUUUGUUAAAGACGAACUACUGCGAAAGCAUUGCCAAAGACUU
rnacentral:rRNA from 1 species